CUCUCAGUGACUUGAAAUGUUCUUUUUUCACCUCGUUAAACAAAGAUUCUUCAAAAUGAUAAAUGACUUGUGCAUUUCCAGAACUUAACCAACUCUUUAGGAAAUAAUAGCAGUAUCUGGAAUUGCCUAAUUUGUUGUCAUUGAUGGUUUAAAAAUUGAAGCAGACAAUAUGUCAGAAAUUCUGAUGCAAAACACAAUGAGACGACGUGCUAUCUUGUAAUGAGAGAAAUGUGGCCGCCGGAUGUAAUGAAAAAAUAUGUUUCUGAUACGACAAGAAAAUGUAGAAGUACAAACAAUUACAACCCCUGAAGAUCGGAAAAAAUUGAAAAAAAUUUGUUUAUAUCUGCAAAGACGUCGUGAAAUUCAUUAUGGCAAAAACUCUAACGAUGACAUUGGCAUACAUUUAAAAAAUUGGAUGAGCAUGACUUUUCAUGCAUGCAGAAGAAAAAUGAAAAAAAAAUCAAGAAAAUGUAGUUAAUUAACUUCAUUUUAAGUUAGGAGUACUACGCAAUGGUUACAACUGAUAUGAGUAGAAUAAAUUGCAAACUGUCGUGCUGUGAUAGUUGAUAAUUACACUGAUGCUACUAAUAUUAUUA